rnacentral:rRNA from 1 species
UACGGAGGGGGCUAGCGUUGUUCGGAAUUACUGGGCGUAAAGGGCUCGUAGGCGGCCAACUAAGUCAGACGUGAAAUCCCUCGGCUUAACCGGGGAACUGCAUCUGAUACUGGAUGGCUUGAGAUUGGGAGAGGGAUGCGGAAUUCCAGGUGUAGCGGUGAAAUGCGUAGAUAUCUGGAGGAACACCGGUGGCGAAGGCGGCAUCCUGGACCGGCAUUGACGCUGAGGCGCGAAAGCCAGGGGAGCAAACGGG